GACGAACGCUGGCGGCGUGCUUAACACAUGCAAGUCGAACGGAAAGGCCCUGCUUUUGUGGGGUGCUCGAGUGGCGAACGGGUGAGUAACACGUGAGUAACCUGCCCUUGACUUUGGGAUAACUUCAGGAAACUGGGGCUAAUACCGGAUAGGAGCUCCUGCCGCAUGGUGGGGGUGGGAAAGUUUCGGCGGUUGGGGAUGGACUCGCGGCUUAUCAGCUUGUUGGUGGGGUAGUGGCUUACCAAGGCUUUGACGGGUAGCCGGCCUGAGAGGGUGACCGGCCACAUUGGGACUGAGAUACGGCCCAGACUCCUACGGGAGGCAGCAGUGGGGAAUAUUGCACAAUGGGCGGGAGCCUGAUGCAGCAACGCGGCGUGCGGGAUGACGGCCUUCGGGUUGUAAACCGCUUUCGCCUGUGACGAAGCGUGAGUGACGGUAAUGGGUAAAGAAGCACCGGCUAACUACGUG
rnacentral:rRNA from 1 species